rnacentral:lncRNA from 1 species
UUCUCUAAGAUGACGGAGGUUGUUGUCGCUGUCGAAGAGGAAGGCCUGGUCGCUGUGCUCAUGGCUCAAAAUAUAGCUUCUGAUAUCUGCAGCGUUGGGAGGGAGACAGAAAAAAAAAAGAAGAUCAAUUCUUGUCUCUGCUAAAGACUGGUUUCACACUAAAGCCAACAUCUCAUAGGGAACAAGAACAUGCUUAAACCUAAAUAAAAUGCUAACAAACACUCAGCAAGUGAAAUGGUAAUGAAUAGCAAGAGGUAAAGAACACACAGAGGACACAUGGAACAGAGUGAACUAAAACAUGAUUCAAAUGGUACAAGAUGAAUGAUGCAAAGCGAAAAAUGUUAGCUUUGUCUUUAAUUUCUUUUAACCAUCAGAAAAAAAAUCUAAACUUUAAACCAACAAAAUUGUGAAUCAAUCGAGAACAGACAAAUCACAUGUAGGGUUUCAUUCUUCUGAAUCAAAUUAGAUCCUAUAAACGUAAAUCUAAAUAUUAAUCGAAAAAGAAAUUGAAAAUUGAGAAUCCAAAUAGCAAAAUCCAAUUCUGCAGGUAGAGGAUAGAAGAAUUAAAUU